GCGGUUGGCGCCCGCGCGGUUGGGCGGCGCCGUUGCGUGGCGCGGCUCCCGCCAGGGAACAUGGAGGCGGCGGCGCGGCCGCGGCCGGAGGAGCUGCGGCAGCAGCAGGAGGGCGCGGGCGCGGCGGCGGGCGGCAGCCGAGCGCUGUCGCUGUCGGGGCAGUCGUACUGGCUGGACCUGUGGCUCUUCGUCCUCUUCGACCUGGCGCUGUUGGUGUUCACCUACCUGCUGCCCUGAGGGCGCGGGCGCAGAGGACUGUAUACCACUGCAAAAGUACCCAGACUUUCUCUUUAUAGAGUCACUGCCUAAUCACCAUGCUGCACCUUAUGAAAACAGAGCGGAAGAGGAGGCCUGUUUGUGCACUAUGAACCACUGGGAUCACAACUUGUAUCUGAAUGCAAAUGACUUCAUACAUAUUUAUUUAUGUGCUGAUCACAGCAUAUCCCCAGAUAUAUCACAACUGAUAUUGUUUAGGUUUUUAGGGCUGUCUGUACUCUGUUUUUUCUCUCUGUAGUCUAAACUGUGCCUUAAUAUAAGACAGCUUGACUGUGCUUUUGCUUUUAGUGCUCAAAGAUUUGUUAAGUGUAAAUGGAAAUAUGUACUAUUUGAAUAAAAUCAACUGAAAGGACAGACUGUAAAGUGGCUGAGAGUAAAAAACAGCUCUUGCAUAGAC